CGCUUUGGGACACCGGCUCUCAGACAGACGCCUGCUGAGAGACCGCACUGCAAGGGGUCUCUCCGCCCCGGAGUCUGACAGUGCCUGCUUGGCGGACCCUGAGCUUCCUGUGGGGGACGUGCACCCGGUGGUCCUUCCUGUCUGGCUUCUCCCGCCACUCGAAGAGCAGCAUUAAAGAAGCCCGCCUUGCUGGUGCAGACUUCUGCAUCCCGUGGUGCUCAGUUCCAGAUGUGCUACACCACUUUCUCUUCGUGCUGGAGGGACGUGGGGUGCUCCCGGCUGGGGAAAGGAUGGGGACGACUUUGUGAGCUUUAUUUUUCAAUAUAGGGGAUGGGACCCAAGGCCUUCACACACAUCCUAAUCUUUUAAAAGUUUUUAUUUUGAGGCAAGGCCUAAGUCACCCCAUUGCCCAGGGUGGGCUCCAACUUGGUAUUCUCCUGUCUCACCCUCCCUGAGUGCCAUGAUCACAGGUGUGCACCACCACAAGGCUUGGAAUUGCUUUUUGCUUGAGGUGAGAAGAAUCUCUGGGUCCGCAGCUGUCCCUGUGGCUGUCAGAUGUGCGCUGCUACGGGCACCGCAGGCUGUGGAGUAAGAGAGUCCAUGAGCGUGUGACCUGGCUCUGCCUGGGCCGCUCUGCUACCCGGUCCCCAUCACCGCCCUUGGCCCGAGUUCCUGCACCCAGGGGUCUGACCGCACUUGCUGCUCAGUUUGUGGUGGCCACUUGCUGCCCUGCGCACUUGUGCAGAAAAGCGAGUCGGUGUCCGCUGCACACGAGUCCCCAAGUUUCACAGAGGACCAUUCGUCUACAGCACGUGAUUAGCGAGCAGCGAGGCUGGGGGCGAGGACCCCGGAGGCUUGCAGCGCUGUGGCCACGCUGGGCUGCUCUCCCACUCAGCCCAGGGCCCCUUCACGCGGGGGGCGGGGUGACGCAGGGUGGCCACGGGCGGUGGUCGAGUACCCUCGAAUGGAGCAGUGAGCUCAUGGCCUGGAGAUGGCAGCCGAGGAGGUGAGCUCUGUGACGUGAGCAGCCCUGAGGGCUGAGCGCUCCGCAGGGUCAGGGCCUCACGCAGGGCGCAGGGCACAGGGCGCAGGGCGCAGGGAGCUGUGUGUGACCCAGGAAGCCUCAGGCACAUCGGCCACACCUGCUGAGAGCCGCCCAGGACCUGAGAAGAGUGUGGAUCACAGCAGCCAGGGACACUGCCACCCUGGGUUGGCUGACGGCUGGAGACCAAGUCCCUGGUGGAGGGCACAGCUGCAUAGGCCCCCUUGCACCCAGAAGGACCGACCAGCCCGGCCGCCUGAGGCUCCCGUCAUCCGCAGGAACCUGAGCCUCACCCAGGGCCCAGGCCACCUCCUCGGUGCCUGGGCACAGCGGCCUUCUGUGAAGCACACGUGGCCCUGUCCUCCGGGCUUUACCACAGCCACAUCUCUGUUGUGGAUGGAGGGGAGAGUCCACGUGGCCAUCUGCAGCUGGACACUGAGGACACUGCAGCUGCCCAGCCACGAAGCCGCAACCACAGAAUGAGAGAUGAGGCCCAGAGCCCCCUGGAGAGUCGCCGCUCCGAGGCCACCCGGAAGGCUGAGGAUGCUGGGGUCUGAAGGCCACGGGCAAUGGCGGCUGCAGUGACAAAUCUUAGCAGAAAGUAGCUAAGCCCACCCACCAGAGCUCUGCUGGGCUUUGGGGGCUGUGGUUCCUGCGGGGAGUCCUGGGCCGGCGGCCUCCCACCCUCCACCCACAGCGCCCUCACCCGUGGAUCACGGUGCACGGUUCCUCCACGAGUGCUCAGCGUCUUGGUCAGGAGCCUGGGCUCUGGCCCUGUGGCCCACCCUGUGCUCCUCUGGGCCCCGCUGUGCCCUGAGGGGUGGGCGGGGCUGAUGGCUGCUGCCCCAGUCCCGAGCUCUCCCACCCCCAGCGAAGAAAAAGCAGGCAUUGUCUGCAUCUCUAUUUACAGGAUUGGGGCUUAUUGUCACUCACCACUGGCAAACGUGUCAUUAAAUUUCUCUUAAUCCCUGUGUGCCGCCCUUGGGACUGCGGGCCGGAGGGUGUCCCUGUCCGGCUUUGCCUCGUUGUCCACCGACCUGCAAGCCAUGAACCACACACGCAGAGUCCUGGCUCCUGGGCAUCAUUUCUGACUCCCUGCACCCAGUCACUGACCCCUGGUGGAGCACAGGGGACACGCAGGGCCUCAGGGGGCCUGGAAGCCCGUGCCUAUGGCAUCAGAGCCCCGCCGCCUGCCCCUUGUCCCUGCCCCUUGUCCCUGCUGAGAUGGCGCUGGCUGCUGGGGUUUGUGGACACCUUCUGUCAUCACACACGCACUUGUGUGGUGGCUGCACAGUCACAGCGUCUGUGAGCCUCGGACAGUUAUCUUUGAUGCCGGCUCCAGCUUUGUCCCCUGUGUGUGCUGGGCUCAACGUGAGAAACAGUUCUUGUCCCGGCCGA
rnacentral:lncRNA from 1 species